UUAGAGUUUGAUUAUGGCUCAGGGUGAACGACGGCGGUGUGCCUAAGACAUGCAAGUCGAACGAUCUUUCGUUCUUCACUUUAUUCAGAAUUCCAGAUUCGCAAGACGGAACUGAGUUUUAUGGAUAGAGUGAAGGACGCUGGCCUCUCGGAAGAACGGGUGAGUAUAAGACAGGAACAUACUUCGAAGCGGGGCAUAGCCCACCGAAAGGUGGGGUAAUUUCCCAUAUGUCCCGAUUUAUCGGGAUGAAAGACGCAAGUCACUUCGAAAAUGGCCUAUCUACUACCAGCUAGUUGGUAAGGUAACGGCUUACCAAGGCUUUGACGGUUACCGGCUCUUAGCGGAGAGUCCGGCACAAUGGGACUGAGACACGGCCCAUACACCUACGGGUGGCAGCAGUUAGGAAUUUUGCGCAAUGGACGAAAGUCUGACGCAGCGACACCGCGUGGAGGAUGAAGACCUUAGGGUUGUAAACUCCUUUUUAGCGGCCAUGAAGGCCACUAGAAUAAGUAGCUACUAACUACGUGCCAGCAGUCGCGGUAAUACGUAGGCUACGAGCGUUACCCGGAUUUAUUGGGCGUAAAGGGUCUGUAGACGGUUUUCCAAGUCUGGUUUCAAAGCCCCCGACUCAAUCGGGGAAAGGGGUCAGAUACUGGGAUACUAGAGUCAUAUCGGGGUUACUGGAAUUUUUGGUGUAGGGGUUAAAUCCGUGGAUACCAAAAAGAACACCAAGCGCGAAGGCGGUAACUAGGUAUGUACUGACGUUCAGAGACGAAAGCUAGGGUAGCAAAUCAGAUUAGAGACCUGAGUAGUCCUAGCUGUAAACAUUGUCCGUUAGUUCUUCUCAAUUUAUUGGGAGGGAUGUUAGCUAACGCGUUAAACGGAUCGCCUGGGGAGUAUAGCCGCAAGGCCGAAACUUAAACUAAUUGGCGGGGAGGCGCACAACCAGUGGAGCAUGUGGUUCAAUUCGAUACAAAGCGAUGAACCUUACCUGGGCUUGAAAUGCACCUGCAGGCUCCUGAAAGGGAGAGUCCUUCGAGGGUGGUGCACAGCUGUUGCAUGGCUGUCGUCAGCUCGUGACGUGAGUUGUUCUCUUAAGUGAGGUAACGAGCGCAACCCCCAUUCUGUGUUAUCGUGUCACAGAAGACUGCCUAGCAUUAUUUUGUUAGGAGGAAGGAGGGGACGACGUCAAGUCAUCAUGAUGCUUAUGUCCAGGGCUACACACAUCCUACAAUGGGCUAUAACAGAGGGUUGCAAGACCGCAAGGUGGAGCUAAUCCCUAAACUAGCCCUCAGUUGGGAUUGCAGGCUGAAACUCGCCUGCAUGAACCCGGAAUUGGUAGUAAUCGCACAUCAGCAGCGUGCGUUUUAAUGAGAGUCUCGCCUCUUGCACACACUGCCCGUCAAAUCAGCAAAGUUGGGGGUACCCAAAGGCUCUGGCUUGCCAGGGACUGUUUAGAUCCAGCGAUGAGGGUUAAGUCGUAACAAGGUUACAUUUUAGGGAAGGUGCGGAUGGAUCACCUCCUUUAU
rnacentral:rRNA from 1 species